GAUGAACGCUGGCGGUAUGCUUAACACAUGCAAGUCGAACGGGGGUAGAAAUACCCUAGUGGCGGACGGGUGAGUAACGCGUGAGAAUCUAGCUUCAGGUCGGGGAUAACAGAGGGAAACCGCUGCUAAUACCGGAUGAACCUACGGGUAAAAGAUUAAUUGCCAGAAGAUGAGCUCGCGUCCGAUUAGCUAGUUGGUAGGGUAAUGGCCUACCAAGGCGGCGAUCGGUAGCUGGUCUGAGAGGACGAUCAGCCACACUGGGACUGAGACACGGCCCAGACUCCUACGGGAGGCAGCAGUGGGGAAUUUUCCGCAAUGGGCGAAAGCCUGACGGAGCAAUACCGCGUGAGGGAGGAAGGCUCUUGGGUUGUAAACCUCCUUUCUCAAGGAAGAAGCAAUGACGGUACUUGAGGAAUCAGCAUCGGCUAACUCCGUG
rnacentral:rRNA from 1 species